UUGCACAGAGCCAGCAGCAUAACGUAUUGGUUUUUCGCCUUUUACUAAAGACCACCGUGUUGCUGGCUCACUCAAUGUGCCUUCAGUAAUUUUUACCAAGGCCCCUUCGGGGUGCCAC
rnacentral:snRNA from 1 species